rnacentral:rRNA from 1 species
AGCGAACGCUGGCGGCAGGCCUAACACAUGCAAGUCGAACGAAGUCUUCGGACUUAGUGGCGGACGGGUGAGUAACACGUGGGAACGUACCUUUUGGUUCGGAACAACUCAGGGAAACUUGAGCGAAUACCGGAUGAGCCCUUAGGGGGAAAGAUUUAUCGCCGAAAGAGCGGCCCGCGGUAGAUUAGGUAGUUGGUGAGGUAAAGGCUCACCAAAGCUACGAUCUAUAGCUGGUCUGAGAGGAUGAUAAGCCACACUGGGACUGAGACACGGCCCAGACUCCUACGGGAGGCAGCAGUGGGGAAUCUUGCGCAAUGGGCGAAAGCCUGACGCAGCCAUGCCGCGUGAAUGAUGAAGGUCUUAGGAUUGUAAAAUUCUUUUACCGGGGACGAUAAUGACGGUACCUGGAGAAAAAGCCCCGGCUAACUUCGUGCCAGCCGCCGCCGUAAGAC